GGCCUAACCCCUGUAAUCCUUUACAGGGCAUGGCUCUAAAUCUAUCCCUAGUAUCAAACUCCUCGUCAGAGCACUAGGGAUAGUCAUAUCUCGAAAGGGAUAUGGGUCUCGCAAGAGAUC
rnacentral:sRNA from 1 species